UUCGUUUUUUUUCAAUUGGAGAAUGAUUAAGGAACAUUGAAUACUCUGAUUUUGUGAAAGUGAAUUGCUAGUUAUGAUUUACGAGCUUACAGUGAAUUUCUAUUUGUUAAUUUGUUAUUGGGUUACAGGAGACGUUCUUUGUCAUUUAAUUAGUGAAAUUCAUGUUUCUUAGCUUACAACAGCUUUUAAGUAACUUCACAUUGGAAUUUAAAUGAAUUAGAACGUAUUAUUUAAUAAUCAUGGAUGGCUUAGAUAAGUAAAUUAUGAGAGUUACGGACUUCCUGAAUAAGUAAUACUAUACUCAUUAUGUAGAUUUUGCUUCUGCACCCAAGGGUGUCGCCUAGUGGUCAAUGAAUUGGGUUGAGAACCAUGAACUCUAAGGUUCAAAUCUCAGCGGAGAUAAAAAAAUACUAAGUGAUUUCUCCCAUAUGUCCGAGCCUUGGUGGAUAAAGUUACGUAAUACUUGUUGUUGGUGGGAGGUAGCAGGUAUCCCAUGGAACUGGUGGUGGUGCGCACAAGCUGGCCUUGACACCAACUCGAUUUUGCUUCUUAGAAGCUAAAUCCGUGUUAGUCAAGGAUCUUCAAUUUCAUUUUAGAGAAAAAAAGCCUAAAGAAUCAGUGACUUCAACAACCUAUUGUGAAAGCAGUGUAAUUUGAUAAAAACACGUUUCAGAGAACUGCAAGAGGGGGAAGAAAUAUGGGAUAUUGACUUAUGCUCAGUGCUGUUAUUGCUGUUACGGUGGUAAUUGCUCAAGCAGUAAGAUUAUUGUUAAUGGUAAUCAAUGGCUGGAGAAAUAGAAAGAAGGCUGUUGUGGUCUUCCACCCAUACGCCAAUGACGGAGGUGGUGGAGAAAGAGUCUUGUGGUGCGCUGUGAAAGCCAUCCAAGAUGAAAACCCAAAUCUAGAUUGUGUCAUAUAUACAGGAGAUCAUGAUGCUUCUCCCGACAGCCUUACUGGCCGUGCCCUUGAUCGAUUUGGAGUCAAAUUAAUCCACCCUCCUAAGAUACCCUUUACUUCUCGGUGGUCCAUCUGCAGUUUACAAUGAUUGGUCAAAGCUUUGUGCAAAUAUACACCUUUAUAUUACUUUGAUUCUAGUGGAUAUGCUUUUACUUAUCCAGUUGCCCGUGUAUUUGGAUGCAAAGUUUUUUCCUAUACUCAUUAUCCAACUAUCAGUUUAGACAUGCUAUCCCGUGUUCGUGGGCGCAGUUCAAUGUACAACAAUGAUUCCUUGAUUGCCAAGAGGUACUACAUAUCAGCAUAUGCCAUCUAUAUGAUAUCUUUCCCUUUUUCUUUUGUGUUGUAAAUUGUAAAAAUCUGUCAUCUGUAGAAUUUCAUGAUAACAAGUCAAUUAGUCAUUUUGAUGGAAGUUUCCGUUACUAAGCACCUAAACGUUGGUCUACCUUGUUGAAGAAAAAUGAGAAUGGGCUAUUCAAACAAAAAGGAAAAGGCCAUGCUUAGUUUGGCGAGCCUUUGUCAUUGUCUGUCAACUUAAGUGGUGCCUAAGGCCCGUAUGAGGAACUGUUGAUCUGCUUGUGUCUUUUUUCUUUGCCUACUGUUAGUUUAUAGAUAUGUAUAGUGUAGUCUUGUCCCACAUUGGAAGAGGAGUAAUAUCUCUUUGUAGUGUAUAGCUAU